UGCAUAUACAUCGAAAAUGGAACAAACGGAGGAUCAAAGUGUCGAGAACCAGCUGAAAGUUCUUCUAUGGUGGUGACACAGAUCGUCCCAAUUUUUAAAGAACUUUUACACCAUGUUUUAAAUUUUGUUUUGUUUUGUUUUUUUUUUAUUUUCUAUUCAUUUAUUUUAUUUUUAUUAGUCUUAGUUGUGUUUAGUUUUUUUUCUCCCACGACAGUUGUAGAUACCAUGGAGUGACAAAACCAAAAAAGAUAACAUCGAAGAAGCUAAAAAUGGGCUCGAUGUCAUGACAUCGCACCCUAAUAUCGUGACAUCCAAGACAGAAUGCCACUUCGCAACAUUGAAGGGCCAAGUUCAUCCAAAUAUUUUUGAACGUUCCGUCAUCCAUUAUUGACAUUUCUUCUUUUUCUUCUCAUUCUUAUUUUUUAUAUUAUAUUUCAUAUUUCU
rnacentral:lncRNA from 1 species